rnacentral:rRNA from 1 species
UACGUAGGGUGCGAGCGUUGUCCGGAAUUACUGGGCGUAAAGAGCUCGUAGGUGGUUUGUCGCGUUGUCCGUGAAAACUCACAGCUCAACUGUGGGCGUGCGGGCGAUACGGGCAGACUAGAGUACUGCAGGGGAGACUGGAAUUCCUGGUGUAGCGGUGGAAUGCGCAGAUAUCAGGAGGAACACCGGUGGCGAAGGCGGGUCUCUGGGCAGUAACUGACGCUGAGGAGCGAAAGCGUGGGGGAGCGAACAGG